GAUCAGUCGCGCGCAGAACGUCACGGAGUGCGAGCGUUCCGUUAAUUUUAAUUAUUCAAUUCGCGAAAACGCGGUGAUACAUCACUAAUUGUCGUGUGUUAAAGUGCGUCGUAAUUGCAGGGUAUCUCCUAAGGGCCGCAGAUUAUGGUAAAUACGUUCCUGACCGUUACAACAUGCCUAUUCGUGUACACAAUGAGAGCAGGAGGUGCGCCGGUUAUCAUAGAAAUGGUGGACGAAUGGGCGGACAAUUGGAAUUACAAGCUGGAACCUGACAAGACGCCGAUUCUGAGCGCGAUGAUCAAAAAUCACACUUUGCCGCCUACUGCACUGGGCAGUGGCAGAUUGUUAUGGGAACGUGAGCAAGAUCGAACGCACCUGCCCCAGUUUGUCGACAGGGCGCUUCAACUCCUCAAUCUCAAGCAGGUCGCCUUCGAGGUGGAAAAUUCUCUCAUGUCGAAAGUGUCGUGUACGGCGUGCAAAGCUGGUGCGGGCUUAUUACAGCACUACAUCAAAACCGGCAAGUCGGAAAAGGAAAUCAAGGAGACAAUUUAUCAGUUCUGCACGUCCCUCAAAAUUCAGUCGGCGAGAGUCUGCGAGGGUAUAACCGAGCUCUUCGGGGGCGAGGUGAUCUACGUGCUGGGAAAGGUGAAGUACAGUGCAGAUGAGAUCUGCAGCUUCGUCAUCGGCGACGCCUGCGGCGACGUCUACAAUCCGUACCACGAGUGGAACGUCGUAUUUCCGCCGGUGCCGAAACCGAAAUCGGCGCCGCAGGAUGCGCCGACGGCCUCGGCGCCGAGCUUCAAGGUGCUGCACCUGUCCGAUACCCACUACGAUCCGUACUACAUGGAGGGCGCGAACGCCGACUGUUCGGAGCCCUUGUGCUGCCGGCUGACCAACGGGCCUGCCGCCUCCAAGGAGCAAGCCGCCGGCAAGUGGGGCGAUUACAGGAAGUGCGAUACACCCAAAGCUACCGUCGAGAGUAUGAUGAAGCAUAUCGCGGAAACACAUCAUGAUAUCGACUACAUCAUUUGGACCGGCGACCUACCACCGCACGACAUAUGGAACCAAACGCGCGAGGAAAACCUGAAAAUCCUGAAGGAAACGGUAAACCAAAUGUCGGAGACCUUUCCCGGCAUACCGAUCUUUCCGGCGCUCGGCAAUCACGAGGCGGCGCCGGUGAACAGCUUCCCGCCGCCGUUCAUCGACAGUCCGGACAACUCGAUCUCUUGGCUUUACGACGAGCUCGACAAGCAGUGGCGCAACUGGCUGCCGAGCUCGGUGAGCAACACUGUACGCCGCGGCGCGUUCUACUCGGUCCUCGUCCGACCCGGCUUUCGCCUCAUCUCGCUCAACAUGAACUACUGCAACAACAAGAACUGGUGGCUGCUCCUCAACAGCACCGAUCCGGCGACCGAACUGCAGUGGUUCAUUUACGAGCUGCAGUCGGCGGAGUUCAACGGCGAAAAGGUGCACGUUAUCGGUCACAUACCUCCCGGCCACUCGGACUGCUGCAAAGUAUGGUCACGUAAUUAUUACGCAAUAAUCAAUCGUUACGAGUCCGUGAUUACAGGACAGUUCUUCGGACACACGCACUUUGACGAGUUCGAGGUGUUCUACGACAAUAAAGAUCUAAGUCGCGCCAUUGGCGUCGCGUACGUCGGGCCGUCGGUCUCCUCGUACGCGGGGUUGAAUCCGGGCUAUCGAAUUUACUACGUCGACGGGGACCAUCAUCAGUCCACACGGGCUGUUAUAGAUCACGAAACGUGGACGAUGAACUUGGGCGAGGCGAACGUCUACGGUUACCCGAUCUGGUUCAAGUUAUACUCGGCGCGACAGGCGUACGGCAUGGAGGCGCUCCGCCCGCUCGACUGGGACAUCCUCGUCGAUCGCAUGACCAGCGACCCUCAACUGUUCGAUCUCUUCUACAAGUACUACUACAAGGCGAGCAUAGUCAAGCCCCAAUGCGACGUGGCCUGUCGAAAACGAAUCCUGUGCGAUUUGCACUCGGGCCGUUCGCACGAUCGUCGCAACCUGUGCCAGUCGAUCGAGUCGAGGAUCGACGGGAACACCGGGACGACCUGGAGGGAGUGGAUCUACAAUACCAUAUCAGUGUCGUGGAAUCGCAUUAAAAAAUUGUUUUCGUAACGAUAAUGUGGGAUAAGGAAUUUGACACAAAGCACUCUUACACUGCUGACAUUUCCUGAAUUUCAAUGCUUUGGUCGAUCCCUCGACUAACAAUCCAGCUACCAAAGUAUGUCAUGAGUCUCGGAUAACGCUAAGCUAUGGUGACGUAGUCAAUUGUUCUAGAAUUGUAAGGUUUAUUUAUUGUUUUUUUUUUUU